GACGAACGCUGGCGGCGUGCUUAACACAUGCAAGUCGAACGGAAAGGCCCUGCUUUUGUGGGGUGCUCGAGUGGCGAACGGGUGAGUAACACGUGAGUAACCUGCCCUUGACUUUGGGAUAACUUCAGGAAACUGGGGCUAAUACCGGAUAGGAGCUCCUGCUGCAUGGUGGGGGUUGGAAAGUUUCGGCGGUUGGGGAUGGACUCGCGGCUUACCAGCUUGUUGGUGGGGGAGUGGCUUACCCAGGCUUUGACGGGUAGCCGGCCUGAGAGGGUGACCGGCCACAUUGGGACUGAGAUACGGCCCAGAGUGCUACGGGGGGCAGCGGUGGGGAGUAUUGCACAGUGGGCGGGAGCCUGAUGCAGCGGCGCCGCGUGCGGGAUGACGGCCUUCGGGGUGUGAACCGCUUUCGCCUGUGACGAAGCGUGAGUGACGGUAAUGGGUGAAGAAGCACCGGCUAACUACGUG
rnacentral:rRNA from 1 species